AUACGGAGGGUGCAAGCGUUAUUCGGAAUCACUGGGCGUAAAGGGUGCGUAGGCGGUUUGAUAAGUCUGAUGUGAAAUCCUAUGGCUCAACCGUAGAACUGCAUUGGAAACUGUCAGACUAGAAUACUGAAGGGGCAGAUGGAAUUAGUGGUGUAGGGGUAAAAUCCGUAGAUAUCACUAGGAAUACCGAAAGCGAAAGCGAUCUGCUGGGAAGUUAUUGACGCUGAGGCACGAAAGCGUGGGGAGCAAACGGAAUUAGAUACCCCAGUAGUCC
rnacentral:rRNA from 1 species